AUGGAGCCGGUCGUGAAGGUGUACGGGCCAGCCAUGUCUUGGAACAUAGCCAGGGUCCUUGUGAGCCUGGAAGAGUCCGGCGUCAAGUACGAGCUCGUCGCCGUCGACUUCGCCGCGGCCGAGCACAAGAGCGCCGCCCACCUCGCCAGGAACCCAUUCGGUCAGGUCCCAGUUUUGGAGGACGGUGACUUUUGCCUCUGGGAGUCGCGCGCAAUCACGAAAUAUAUAUGCCGAAAGUACAAACCUGAGCUCCUUGGGGUUGGCAAUCUCAAGGGAUCAGCAAUGGUCGAUGUGUGGCUGGAGGUGGGGGCCCACCAAUACUGGCCUCUCAUAGAGGCUAUUCUUAUGGAGAUCAGGAUCCGGCCGAUUUUCGGGCAAAGGGUUGAUGAGAGGGCCGUCGAGGAGAACAUUGACAAGCUGAAGAAGGUGUUGGAUGUGUAUGAGUCCAGAUUGUCUAGCUCCAAGUACCUAGCAGGAGACUUCAUCAGCGGAUCAGCCUCGCCGACCUCAACCACGUCUCCACCAUGCUUUGCCUAG
rnacentral:rRNA from 1 species